AAGGGUAUAGCUCAAGUGGUAGAGCACAUGCUUAUUAGCAUGUACAAGAUCCUGGGUUCAAUUCCCAGUACCUCCU
rnacentral:tRNA from 1 species